UACGUAGGGGGCAAGCGUUGUUCGGAAUUACUGGGCGUAAAGAGCUACGUAGGCGGUUUGUUGCGUCGGCUGUGAAAUCCCGAGGCUCAACCUCCGGGUCUGCAGUCGAUACGAGCAAACUAGAGUGUUGCAGGGGAGACGUGGAAUUCCUGGUGUAGCGGUGGAAUGCGCAGAUAUCGGGAGGAACACCAGUGGCGAAGGCGGCUAGCUGGCCUGUAACUGACGCUGAGGCGCGAAGGCUAGGGGAGCGAACAGG
rnacentral:rRNA from 1 species